GGAUCAAGAGAUCUACCACACGGAUAAAGAUCUGAAGUAACAACAACUAAAGAAGCAAGAAACCCAGAGAUCUCUCAAGCUAGCACCACCAAAGAAAGCAAGUCAGCAAAGCAAUCAGAAUAAAUCUCCAAAUGGUAUCCCACAAAUAAAGUGGAAUACCAAGCAAGCUAUCUCUUCAAGAGUCAUGUGAGCCCUCACAAAAAACUCAACAAACAAGUUAGAAUAACAAGAUGGGGUGCAAUCAAGAGUUGCACCAAACAGAAGAAUCAUAGCAACAACAGUGUCGGGUAAACAGUGCACGGAUGCAAUAGAAAGCAUGUCAUAACAAAGCAUGAAAGAUGAAAGGAGGAUACAAUAGAACCAAGUCAGAAGUGACAUCAAUUCAAUAAGUGUCUCAAGAAUUCAACUCAACAAGAUCAAAGCAAAACCACUAAACAUCCAAAGAUGCAUCAAAAUCAAGCAAGUCAACAGACAAACUCAAAGUGCUUCAACUUCAAUAAUGAGUCAUAAAAGGUAAAGGCAUGAGGCAAGGGUUAAGGAUUAGACAAUCAAGCACACAAACAGAACCAAAUGACUCCUAAAAUAUCAAUCAAAAGUCAUUUAAACCCAACUUAGCAAAGUGGAAGUCAAUCAUGUCCAAAGCACCUCAAAAUGCGACAAAAAUAAACCCAACUUAGCAAAGUGGAAGUCAAUCAUGUCCAAAGCACCUCAAAAUGCGACAAAAGCAUUAUAGACAAGUUCAUGCAAUUAUGUGUCAAGAUGAAAUGAACAUGGCAGCAAGGUAUGCACACCAUAAGCAUGUCAAAUGAGUUAUGUAAUCAAUAUGCAAACCUCCAAGUUCAUAUCAUAAGCAUAGAAUCACUUUUGGGCCAAAAUCAAACAAAGUGUAUCAUGAAACUCUAAUGCGUCUUUCAUGCUCAAAUGAAUGCAAAAUGAAGCUCAUUAUGAAUAAAUGCACAAAAAUUUGAUAGAAGCAUCAUAUAACAGGGGAAAACACAUAUGCAAAGGCACCAAACCAGAAUCAAAGUGUAACCACAUGAAUCAUGCUAUUAAAGUUCACAAAAGUGCACAAAAACAAACACGGAUAGGAGGCCUAAACCUCUUGUCAAACAAAUGCAUCAAAGGGGUAUCAAAACUCAAAGUCAGGGGGUAAGGCUCCCCACAUCAAGACAUGACAUACAUACUAAAACAUGUGCAAAUGGAUUGGUUUCAACACUCAAAGUAAGUGGCACAAGUGCCUCAUGCUAAGCAAGCAUCGAAAUAGGGGCUAAAAUGCAAACAUCAACUUCAAAAAUCCAAAUCAAACUGAAAAUGCAUCCUAAAUUCAUGGUAAUUUAACACAAGGUUCCACUGGACAUAUAUAAACAUCAUGCAAAAAAUCAGAAGCAUCCAGAUUCAUUUGAUAUGAAAAGAAAAAUUGAGAAAUUGAGAAUGCAAAAACAUGUCCUAAAGAGCAACAUUUAAAUUCAUGUGUCAAACCUUAGCAAAAUGACAUAUAAAAUAACCAAACCAGUUACCACAUCUUAGUAUCAUGUAUGAGGAUGGUGUGUGCAAAGGCUUGGGUCAGAAUGAUCAAAAUAUGGGAUUUCAUGAAGGUUUGAAUGCAAAUGGUAAAAAAUGCACAUAAAUGAAUCAUAAAUUCAUAUUAAAUUCCACGUGUCAUGGAAUAAUUGGGCAAUGGUACCACAAAAUCAAGGACUCAACAGGGAUCACUCACAGAAAAUUUCAGAUUUUGUUAAGUAUUUUUGCUAUUUUUAAAAAAUAAAAUAAAACGGGAUGAAAUAUGUACAUGGCAUGUGACAUAUAUGCAACAAUGUCAAUUGGUCACAAGUCACUUAAGUGACCCAAAUAAAAAAUAAAUAAAAAACGAAAAUCAGAAAAGAUGUGGGCCUUUGGAUCAAAAGAUAAGUCAACAAGAUCUAACGGCCACGGGAUCGUCUUCUUCCUCAAGACAUUCCGGCCAUGAACAAUAACGCCGGUGGGAUUCCGGCCACCGCCGGCGGCGGCCUCCUCCACGCGCGGCCCAGAACUUCACGAAAAUGGGGCUACCCCCCAUAAAUCAUAUGCUAGGAACUCAAAAAUCCUAUUAGUUUUUCAUGAAUCCUCACCAAUCUCUCAAAUCAUAAACAAAAAGUUUGAACAUCAAAACUUUAAAUCAAGAUUUCUCACUCAAUAUUGCAUCAUUUUGAAAAGUAAACACAUAUACAUCAUCACCAUAGCAUGUAGUUUCAUUUAGGCAUAAGAAAUGCGUGAAAUAAGAGAGUCGAAAUUCGAGUUACCGGAAAUGGCGCUUUCCAAAACUUCAGUAUGGUGAUGAGAUAGGCUCCAGAAUACCUCCCUUGAGCUUCUAUGAAUGUUUGCUACCUUUGAUUGUGCUUGAAACGGUCCAGAUCUUGAGAUUCAAGAAGCAACCUCCAUUAAAGCUCUGUUUAGGAACUGCUUGGAAUGACUCAAAUGAAGGGUGGUUUGUGAUCCUUAGAGUGUGUAGAACAAGAAUAUGCUACUGGUUUUCAUUUUUCAUGGAUGUAUGGAAGGAUUUGAUGAGAAUCAAGUAUGAGAUGAUUUUUGGAAAGUGAAUAGAGUGUGUAGAACAAGAAUAUGCUACUGGUUUUCAUUUUUCAUGGAUGUAUGGAAGGAUUUGAUGAGAAUCAAGUAUGAGAUGAUUUUUGGAAAGUGAGUUUUUCAGAGUGUAUGGAGGCUGCACGAAUUAGGGUUUUGCACAAAUGAAUUUUUAGAGUUUAUACUCUGAUUUUUUGGCUUGGUGGGCUCAAAAAUGAAGGAAAUUCAAGUCCAUGAUUUUUUGUUAUUUUUGUGCAUGUAUGGCUUUUCCACACAUGUGGGAAUGCAUGGGCUCAAAUCCCAAGGUGGAUUUGGCCCAAAAAAACAAUGCUGAAUAAAUUCCCAAUGAUUGGCACAUGAGAAUAUUUCAUGAUGUCAUUAUGAGUCCUUUUGACUUUUCAUGCAAGAAAUCUUGAAAAAUGACUUGCACCAUUGAUGAAUCAUGCAAAAUUAUAGGUCAUUUUGCAUGCUAUUUUGAAGUACUUCUCAAAACAAAACUAUAGCAAAAAGAGCCACACCAAUUGGACUUGUCAACCUCAAGUUAUGCCUUUUUAAAGCCUUCAUGCACACUCCAUUGUUCAAGAACCAUAACUCUCCAACCAUUCAUCAUAUGGCCUUGAAAUAGGACUUUUUCGAAAGGGGAGACAAAGAUCUACAACUGUCAUGUCUGAAAAAAGUUCAUUUGGAGCUUCCUUGGUGAUGAUUUGAUUGGUACAUCAGUCAAGCUCGCUAGGCGAGUAAGGUAGCGAAGGGCUCGCUAUGCGGGCACUCAGCGAGGCUCCAGCGAACACUCCCAGACUUGGAUAAAAACACAGUUAGCAAUUACUCACUAUGCGAGCAUCCAGCGAGCAGGUUAGCGAGCAAUUCCAAUAGCAACAUCAUCAAGGUUCGCUGGAGCGAAGGAGGAAGCGUGGGCUUCGCCUAGCGAAGGAUUGCUCGCCUAGCGAGCAUGACAGUUCAGGAAGUUUUCUCCUGGGCGCAGGUGACUCAGGUGGCUUAUUUUGGGGCUCGCUAGGCGAACCGUUCUGCUCGCCUAACGAGCAUGACAACUCAGGAACAGACCUUUGUUCCUUCAAGAUGAACGUUUUCAAUGAUGAAUAGACCCCAUUUGAACAUGUUGGAAGUAUCUCAAGUCAUUCCCUAGCCAUUUGACCCUCAGUUGACCAACAGUUGACUUUUGACUUCAUAGUUGAAUUUUGAACUGUACUAAGCCCAUCAAGCUUGAUCCUUUGAAGAAAACCUCUGAAAAUGAAACCCUAGCUCCCUAGAGCUCUACACAACAUCCAUAAGACCUUCAAACCAAGAAUGCAUCUCAAUCUUUGAGGAACCCUACUUUGACUUUGAUACCCAUAUGAAUACAAACUUCCUUGAGUGUUGAGAAAAACCCUAGUUGAUGCACAAUUUCCCUUGUGUUGACUGAUCAUUCAGAUAGAUCCCACAAAGUGACUUGGGUGGUAUCCAAGCUUCUUAGAAGACAUACUUUUGGAGCUAAUUCUAAUUGACAUGAUGAAAUGCAAUAUGAAAUGUUAAAUGACCUAAAAUGAAUGCAUGAGUGAGGAGGGCAAAUUUGAGGUGCUACAGCUGCCCCUAUUCAAUCAACUGUGAACCUGAACGGAUGAAAGCAGCGGCUAUCAGACUUUCAAGGUAAAUAGGGAUUUAAUACCAAAAGAACCGGAGAAUUUGAAUUCUGUAGGUGAUGAAUCAAGGAAAGCGAGACCAUUUACCGAUGGCGGCUUCAAAACAAAUUUGAUACUUACCGAUAUCAAAGAAAGCGAGGCCAUUUACCGAUGGCGGCUUCAAACAAAUUUGAUAUUUACCGAUAUCAAGGAAAGCGCUACAAGACCAGACAUUUACCGAUGACUGGGAAGGAACUCGAUGUUUACCGACAUCGAACAAUGAUGUUUAUAAGUGAAACAAGACCAGACAACCAGAAAAGACCUUUUUAACAACAUAUGGACCUUCAUAAUUCGGAGUCCACUUGCCCCUGUUAUCUGUACCGGGAGGAAGGAUCCUCUUCAAAACUAAGUCACCUAUUUGAUAGCUUCGAGGACGCGCUUUCUGAUCAAAGGCCUUCUUCAUCCUUCUCUAAUAUAGUUGUCCAUGGCACAUAGCUGCUAAUCGCUUUUCCUCAAUUAAAUUUAACUCAUCAAACCUGGCUUGAACCCACUCAGCCUCGUCAAGUUUUACAUCCAUCAUCACCUUCAAAGAAGGGAUUUCAACUUCUACUAGCAAGACUGCCUCCAUGCCGUACACAAGUGAAAACGGAGUUUCCCCGGUUGACGUAUGCACUGAGGUACGAUACCCAUGCAAAGCGAAAGGCAACAUCUCAUGCCAAUCCUUGUACGUCACAACCAUCUUUUGCACAAUCUUCUUAAUGUUCUUGUUUGCCGCCUCUAUAGCACCAUUCAUCUUUGGUCUGUAAGGAGAAGAAUUGUGGUGUUCGAUCCUAAAGUCUUUGCAAAGCUCUUUCAUAAUCUUGUUAUUGAGAUUCGAACCAUUAUCAGUGAUGAUUCUCUCAGGAACCCCAUAACGACAGAUAAUUUCUUUCUUAAUGAAUCGAGCAAACACUUGUCUGGUAACAUUGGCAUAGGAAGCUGCUUCCACCCACUUGGUAAAGUAAUCAAUCGCGACUAGGAUGAAGCGAUGUCCAUUAGAAGCAGUAGGUUCAAUCUUUCCAAUCAUAUUGAUGCCCCACAUCGAUAUCGCAAGGAUGAUAUUUACAUAUGUCAAAAUAAGGCAGACACUUACUGGUGACUAAAUCGGAAGAGAAUCAAGCUUUCCUUUCACGGACUGGUGAGAAAAUAAAUCUCACUGGGAUUAUCGAUUCCGAAUGUUGCCAAGAGCAACUGCUGCAAAUGUGCUACACUGAUGUUGAAAAAUGAUCUGUCUCUUCCGGAGAUAUGAUCCAAUCUGGUUUAAUACAUGUAUGCAUAUAUUUGAGUUUUCCAUGGCGUAAUGAUCUAUAAUGAAUGGAAAUGCUACGCGAUUUGAGAAUGCGAAUGCAAAUGAUGAUUACUACAUGCAAGAUGCAAAGGGAGGAAAACUCCUGUUGGGAAAGCAAAUGAUCACUUUACUGAGCACAAAAUGAUUUUCAGAUGUUUUAUCUUUCCGCACGUCAUUGUCUAGCCUUCAUGUUUUUAGAUGCAAUGUUUAUCAAAAAUUCAGACGUUUUUUUGCAAACAAAAUAGUAGAAUUAAAAAAAAAACUAGAGAGCAAUUUGACUGAAUAACGACUUUUAUUGAUUGAAAAUGGCCUAUAAAGGCAAAUACAUCAGGAAGCAAUUCCUAGGAAGAGGUAAUUGCGCCAAAAGAGAAAAUAAACUAUCCUAUUGGCAAUGUGAACACGGCAUUCCGCUAUUUUCCAAUUCUGUUAUGACUCAUAGAUCUUCAAUUUCCCCCAAAUUCUUUGCUUUCUGAGAAGAGCGAUUGGACCGAUCAUAUCCUUCAAGAUGGUAGACACUGAAACGCGAUGAAGUACAGAUAACUCAGACUGUAGUCUUCGCUUUAAUCCCUCUUUUGCCUGGACCGCCUUUUCAGGUUUUCAAUCCACCGGGAUACCCAUUUUUGCCUAAGCCGCCUUUGCAGGUUUUCGACUUACCGGGUGUACAUAUUAUUUUUAUUCUUUAUCCCUAACUUUUGCCCGAACCUUUUUCUUUUCUUUUUCUCUUGGUUCGCCGGGAUGCCCUUUUUUGCCUGGACUUUCUUUUUUUGUCCAGCGGGUCAGUUUAUGCGAAGUAUUUUUUGACUACAUCUGAAUUCACAGGAGACGGAAAAUCUUCACCAUCCAUAGUUGUAAGCAUCAAGGCUCCACCAGAAAAGACCUUUUUAACAACAUAUGGACCUUCAUAAUUCGGAGUCCACUUGCCCCUGUUAUCUGUACCGGGAGGAAGGAUCCUCUUCAAAACUAAGUCACCUAUCUGAUAGCUUCGAGGACGCACUUUCUGAUCAAAGGCCUUCUUCAUCCUUCUCUGAUAUAGUUGUCCAUGGCACACAGCUGCUAAUCGCUUUUCCUCAAUUAAAUUUAACUCAUCAAACCUGGCUUGAACCCACUCAGCCUCGUCAAGUUUUACAUCCAUCAUCACCCUCAAAGAAGGGAUUUCAACUUCUACUGGCAAGACUGCCUCCAUGCCAUACACAAGUGAAAACGGAGUUGCCUCGGUUGACGUACGCACUGAGGUACGAUACCCAUGCAAAGCGAAAGGCAACAUCUCAUGCCAAUCCUUGUACGUCACAACCAUCUUUUGCACAAUCUUCUUAAUGUUCUUGUUUGCCGCCUCUACAGCACCAUUCAUCUUUGGUCUGUAAGGAGAAGAAUUGUGGUGUUCGAUCUUAAAGUCUUUGCAAAGCUCUUUCAUCAUCUUGUUAUUGAGAUUCGAACCAUUAUCAGUGAUGAUUCUCUCAGGAACCCCAUAACGACAGAUAAUUUCUUUCUUAAUGAAUCGAGCAACCACUUGUCUGGUAACAUUGGCAUAGGAAGCUGCUUCCACCCACUUGGUAAAGUAAUCAAUCGCGACUAGGAUGAAGCGAUGUCCAUUAGAAGCAGUAGGUUCAAUCUUUCCAAUCAUAUCGAUGCCCCACAUCGCGAAUGGCCAAGGAGAAUUCAUAAUAUUCAGAGGGUUUGGUGGUACAUGCACUUUAUCUGCAUAGAUCUGACAUUUGUGGCACUUCCGAGCGUAUUUGAAACAAUCAGAUUCCAUGGUUAUCCAGUAAUAACCGGCUCUUAACAACUUCUUGGCCAUUGCAUGACCACCAGCAUGGGUACCGAAAGAUCCCUCGUGUACUUCCUGCAUUAACAUGUCUGCUUCGUGUCUAACCACGCAUCUGAGCAGAACCAUGUCAAAGUUCCUCUUGUACAACACAUCAUCCUUGUUCAAGUAAAAGCUUCCAGCUAGCCUUCUCAGUGUCUUCUUGUCAUUCUUUGACGCUCCUUCAGGAUACUCUUGGCUUUUGAGGAAAUUCUUAAUAUCAUAAAACCACGGCUUCUCAUCAAUAACAGACUCGGCUGCAAACACAUACGCAGGCCUCUCGAGUCGAUUCACAGCAACGUGUGGCACAUGAUUCUGCCAAUGAACUUUAAUCAUGGAAGACAAUGUGGCUAAGGCAUCAGCCAUUUGAUUUUCAUCUCGGGGUACAUGAUACAACUUUACUGUCUUGAAGAAAGUCAGGAUCCUUCUGGUGUAAUCUCUAUAAGGAAUCAAAUGCGGCUGAUGAGUAUUCCAGUCUCCAUUGACUUGGUUAAUCACUAGAGCAGAAUCUCCAUAAAUGUCCAUAGUUUUGAUCCUUAGAUCGAUGGCUUCCUCAAUCCCCAUGAUACAGGCCUCGUACUCAGCUUCGUUGUUGGUUACUUCAAAAGUCAAUCUAGGGGAAAAAGGUAUGUGUGCACCUUUAGGAUUAAUGAGUAUUGCCCCAACACCAUUUCCAUUCACAUUUAUCACCCCAUCAAACAUCAGUGUCCACUUGUCAUCGGGAUCCGGUCCUUCCUAGACAAGAGGCUCUUCACAAUCUUUCAUCUUUAAGUACAUGAUAUCUUAAUCGGGGAAUUCAAACAUCAUCGACUGAUAGUCAUCAAUUGGUUGCUCGGCAAGGUAAUCAGACAGAAUACUACCCUUGAUGGCCUUUUGCGACGUGUACUGGAUAUCAUACUUUUUCAAAAUCAUCUGCCAACGAGCCACUCGUCCGGUAAGAUCCGGUUUUUCAAAGAUAUACUUUACUGGGUCCAUCUUAGAAAUCAACAAGGUAGUAUAGUUCAACAUAUACUGUCUUAGUCGGCGAGCAGCCCAUGCCAAAGCGCAGCAAGUUUUCUCGAGCAGCGAAUAUCUUAUUUUGCAUGCUCUUUUCGACCAGACUCGUCAUGCUGUCCCAAUACACACCCCAUCGAAUUCUUUGUUACUGAAAGGUACAUUAUCAGAGGCCUCCCAGGAACUAGAGGUAUAAGAAUUGGAGGUUUCUGCAAAUAUUCUUUUAUCUUAUCAAAAGAUUUUUGACAAUCAUUGUUCCACCUGAUUGCUUGAUCUUUUCUUAGCAAAGAAUUGGAGGUUUCUGCAAAUAUUCUUUUAUCUUAUCAAAAGAUUUUUGACAAUCAUUGUUCCACCUGAUUGCUUGAUCUUUUCUUAGCAAUUUAAAUAUCGGUUCGCACGUAGCUGUUAGGUGAAAUAUGAACCGCGCAAUGUAGUUCAGCUUCCCUAAAAACCCACGAACCUGCUUUUCCGUUCUUGGUUCAGGCAUUUCUUGAAUAGUUUUUACUUUCGCUGGAUCAACCUCAAUCCUUUUCUCAUUGACAAUGAAACCUAACAGCUUUCCAGAUCUCACUCCAAAUGUACACUUGUUUGGAUUCAGCCUCAGUUUGAACUUUCUCAAUCUUUCAAACAACUUUUGCAAGUUUAUCAAGUGCUCCUCUUCUGUCUGAGACUUCGCAAUCAUAUCGUCUACGUACACUUCAAUUUCUUGGUGCAUCAUGUCAUGAAAGAGAGUCGUCAUAGCUCUUUGGUAGGUGGCACCGGCGUUCUUCAACCCAAAUGGCAUUACCUUAUAACAGAACGUGCCCCAAGAUGUAAUGAAAGUCGUCUUCUCCAUGUCUUCUGGCGCCAUCUUGAUCUGAUUAUAGCUAGAAAAUCCAUCCAUGAAAGAGAAAACUGAGGACUGAGCAGUGUUAUCGACCAAUACAUCAAUGUGAGGUAAUGGGAAGUCAUCUUUCGGACUGGCUCUGUUUAUAUCUCGGUAAUCGACACACAUCCUGACUUUACCAUCCUUCUUCGGCACGGGUACGAUGUUGGCCACCCAAGGGGGAUAAUUGGUAACUUCUAGAAAACCUGCAUCCAACUGUUUCUGAACCUCCUCUUUGAUCUUGACAGCCAUAUCAGGGCUAGUUUUGCGAAGCUUCUUCUUUACCGAGGGACAAUCUUCUCUGAGAGGUAGCCUGUGCACCACAAUAUUUGCAUCCAAACUAGGCAUAUCUUGAUACGACCAUGCGAAUACGUCCACAUAUUCUUGCAGCAUUUCAAUCAGCCCUCUCUUGACCUUUUCCUCUAAAGCAGCCCCUAUCUUGAUCUCUUUCUUUGCGUCCUCAGUACCAAGGUUAAUGACUUCCAACUCUUCCUGAUGAGGUUGAAUGACCCUUUCCUCCUGUUUCAAUAGUCUGGCCAAUUCUUUGGGGAGUUCACAAUCUUCUUCACUCUCCUCUUCGGCUUGGUAAAUGGGAUUAUCGAAGUCAUACUGAGCCAUAACAGAACUGUUUUUAAUAGAAUCCACAAGAUCAAUUAUGCACGAACGAUGUUUCAUGCUUUAUUUUAGAAAAGAGUUCAAGGAAGUCACAAAAAAAAACAUUGCCAUUUUAUUGUUUUGAAAAUGAAAGUAAUAAAAACAAAAAGACAGUGAACACAAAUUUGAUUGCAAAACCUCCUUUAUUGAUGAUAAUCAUUGAAAAUUUAAAACAUGAUGUGGCCCUACAAUGAACCACUACGCCUUGGCCAGAGCGUAGGGCUUUCAUGCAAAAUGAAAAACAGAGGAAAAUUACUCUGUCUGAAGAGUAACUUGGACUAUUUCUUCAGCAGUUCAGUUGUUGAUCUUCUCCUCUGGAGCACACGGGCGCACCCAAUUAUCCAUAUCACAAUCACUGUCACCAUCUUCAUUGUCUAUUGCAAAGACAUCCCCGUGAUUCAUCAAUCCAGCACUAGUGAAAGUACACGGCCCUUUCUGAUUCUGGACACUCUGCUCUGAUGAUUGAAAAGACUGAUAGCCAAUGCCAAACAUGUCUUCUUUUACGGGCACAUCAAUCACCUUGCCCCAACCUUCCGCGUUACCUGAAUGAAUGACCUCCAGAGCUUGUUUAUAGGACGCAAUUGAGGUACCUGGUUUCUUCUGUUCAAGAAAAGCCACCUUCUCAAUAUUGACAGACUCAAAAGCUUGACAUAGAGUUUCAUGAAUUUCGCCAUCCAUCUCCACAUAUUUGAAGGAGGACAAAUGGCUCACAAAGAUGUCCUCUUCGCCACACACGGUCACAACUUGACCAUCCCACGCAUAUUUUAGCUUUUGGUGGAGAGUCGAAGAAACUGCUCCAGCUCCAUGUAUCCAGGGACACCCCAACAGACAACUAUAUGCUGGUUGAAUAUCCAUCACAUAGAAGACAAUAUUAAAGACUUCCGGGCCGAUCUUCACAGGCAACAUGACUUCACAAAAAACUGAUCGCUUGGAUCCAUCAAAAGCACGGACAACAAGAUCACUUGGUGCGAGAACAACCCCUUCGACAUCAAGCUUACUCAGAGCCUUUUUGGGCAGCAUAUUCAAAGAAGAACUGGUAUCAACCAAAACAUGCGACAAAACCGCGCCUUUGCAUUCCAUCAUGAUAUGCAGAGCUCUAUUGUGAUUGCGACCCUCAGGUGUCAAGUCUAGAUCCGUGAAUCCCAAACCAUGUCUCGUGUUAACAUUUGCAAUAACACCUUUAAGCUGGUUAACAGAAAUCUCUUGAGGACCAAACCAUGUCUCGUGUUAACAUUUGCAAUAACACCUUUAAGCUGGUUAACAGAAAUCUCUUGAGGCACAUAAGCCAUAUUCAACAUUUUCAACAGGGCGUUACGAUGUGCCUCGGAACACAUCAAUAGAGAGAGAAUAGAGAUUUUUUACGGUGUCUGGUUCAACUGAUCCACGAUCUUGUAAUCACUCUUCUUGAUAAUUCUCAUAAAUUCCUCCACGUCCUUCUCAAAUGAACCCUCGGGCACUUCCUUUCGCACUGGUUCUUCUUCAACUACAACUUGUUUUCCUUUUGUUCUAGCAAGAGCCUCAACAUUGUUAUCCUUCGGAACCUAUGGUGCAAACAAACGACCACUUCUCGUAAAUCCUCCGGGUCCUCCCACAUUACCCACAGCCGAACCAACUGUUACUGGAGUCUUAUUUGACGAACCAAUCGUCACUGGAGUAGGAUUUACUGAUCUGGUCUGAUUCUCUGGUCUUCUAUUUCUGCAAAAAGCAUUGUCAUAUUGCCACGGAAUUGCUCUACUAUUCAUAAAAAGUCUUCCACUAGAAGCAGCAAUGGUGGUAGGAGUACUGAUAGUUACUGGAGCAUUAAUAAUCGCGGGAACACCAACAGUCACCGGAGCAGAUAUGGUCACGGGCGCAGCUACGGUCACUGGAGUACCUAUAGUCACAAGCGGACUAAUAGUUCUUGGAGCACGUACAGAACCUUCUGUCGGUGUAAAGUAAAUGGUAACAGUCGAUACCUCUUCACGGUCUUUCGCUACUCGAUCAAACUGUAAACAACCUUCAUUCAUCAAUUCCUGGAUACCUUCUUUCAAUUUCACACAACCGUUUUCAUGAUUACGACAAACUGAACAAAUCUCGUCACAUCCCGGGAAUAUUCCCCCUCUAAGCAGACGUUCCUUCACUACAAACAACGGAGUCUGAACAUCAUUAAUAUUGACUACCAAGUUCAAAUUUUCCCCAUCUUCCACACUAUUUACUCUGGGCCCUCCAUGCUGAGGCAUAGGAUUAUUCACCACAUUUGGAGUAGGAGCAAAGUUAAUCGUCUUGGCAUCAAUCAAAUCUUGAACUUUAUGGUGAAAAGCCCGACAAUUCUCGAUGUGGUGCCCUGGCGCACCAGAAUGAAAAUCACAACGGACAUUAGCAUCAUAACCAGCAGGAAUCCUUGUUAAUGGAGCCAUAGUGCGAAGUUCAACAAACUUUAACCUGAGCAGUUCAGGGAGUAAUUCAGCAUAAGUCAUUGGAAACGGAUCAAAAUGACGAUCUGGCAUUCUUUGUCUUGGUUGGAAUUGGCGUUGUUGUUGUUGUUGUGGUUGUCCUCUUUGUUGUUGUUGAGGUUGGGUUGCUGGAAUAGUCACAGCAGCAACUUGACGGUAUUGUUGUCCUCUGUUUCCAUUUCUCUGAUUAUAUAUAGCAUUUGUCUCACCCUCUCUCCUUCUGGGUGCCCCUGAAAAUGGUUUCUUAGCACUUGAAGAACUUGAAGAACCAGGGUCUUGGAUUUUUCCCGCUUUGAUAAGACUUUCAGUUCUUUCUCCGCAAAUCACAACAUCCGAAAAACUACCAAAUGGGCAACUUCCCAUACGAUCCAUGAAUACACCUUGUAGGGUUCCAAUGAACAUAUCAGUCAAUUCUCUCUCCAACAUCGGAGGUUGUACUCUCGCAGCUAGUUCACGCCACCUCUGGGCGUAUUCCUUGAAACUCUCACCGGUCUUUUGAAACAAACUCUGCAACUGGGUUCUGCUCGGAGCCAUGUCCAUGUUAUGCUUGUACUGCCUCAGAAAAGCUUCACCUAACUCUCUCCAGCUUCUGACAGAUUCUUUUCUCAAGUCCAUGUACCAAUCCAAAGAGGCUCCAGACAAGCUGUCUUGGAAAAAGUACAUCCACAUUUUUUCAUCAUCAGUAUAAGCGGAUAUCUUCCGGUAGUAAGCUUGCACAUGAGUUUGGGGACAAGAAGUGCCAUUGUACUUGUCGAAAGAUGGCGCUUUGAACUUGUACGGGAUCCUCAACCCAUCAACUAGACCCAUGUUAGUAACAUCAAAGCCCAAAGAAUUCUGGCACUCCAUGGCGCGAAUCUUUUCAGCAAGGGCGUCAACCUUUCUAUCUCUUUCUUCCGCCUUUCCAAAUUCAUCAUCAUCACUGAGAAUCGUGAACAUAUCUUCUUGCUUGUCAACCAAAUGAGAAGGAUGGUGAACUGGAGCACGUGCCGCUCGAGCAUUAGCAGCCUCUAUAAUGAUGGGUUGUCCAUUGAUUCUAAUACCACGCAAUUCGUCACCAGUAGCAUAGUUAUUGACAAGGUUGGUAGCAGCAACGGUGUCAUUGACAGGGGUUCCUUCUGGCGGAUUCUGACCGACAGGGGGAAUCACAGUUUCUUGUCUUUGGACUAAGGCUUGGAGUUCCUCUUGCCCUUGCACUACCCCUUGCAUCAUACUCAUGAACUGGGCCAUGUUGGUCCUCAUCUCUGCUAGAUCUGCUUGAAAUUGAUCCAUGGUCUUCUGUUGAUUCUGCCUUGUUGUGUAACGGUGCGGACGAUACUCAGCAAUCCUGCCUGAACGGGAACAAGAAUGAGAAAUCCUCUUCAAGAACACCUGUAAUGAUGCAAGAAUGAUAUGUGUAUGAUGCGUAUGCUAUGUUUUAUCAUUUCUCAGGUAUUCAAGAGUCUCGUCCACCUUUGAAAAAUGGCAACCUGCACCCGUAAGCAGAACAUAAACGACAAAGAAGCAACAUACACUGGACGACAAGCAAAAGUGAAACAUCAAUAAUCUCAUCCAUGGACAUAAGAAAUAAGGUUCAUACAAACAUGGUUCAAGCAAAGAUUCAUUUCAUCAGUGUAGAACAAGGAAUCCCAUCCAACAAUCCUGGAGGUGAUUCUCAAAAUAAACAACAAGACAAACUAGGGAAGUCGUCCUUCAGGAAUGAGAGUCUUCAAAUACUGGCACUGAUCCAUCAAUCGAUCACACUCUAAACACUCAGGUAGAGGGGUGAGCUUCUCUUUCAGUUGUAAGAGAGUCUGUAGAGGUACCAGAUUAACCACCAUCUUCUACAAUGCCAAGAUAUCCCCAUACUGAUCAUCAAAAACUUUCUGAUUACGAUCGGUCACGAGAUUACCCAAUUCUUCCAAAGAUGUCAACGGCUCCCGGUAAAAGCUGUAGGUGCAAGUCUCCCUCUUCAACUCUGGAAUGGCAGCCAUCUCUCGAUGUGAACAGACUCCUGAAUAAACCUGAAAAAUGAUAUGCAUAUGCUGGUUAACUUUUUUCUUUUUUUUAUGCAUUAUUUUUUUUGAAAAUAAACAUGCUAUGAUGCAAAAUGAUGAAACAAUGGCUGGUUGGCUGUGUAUCACAAGGCACAGGAUCAGAACUUCAGCAUGAAUUCGGAACCGGGAAGCAUAGAACACAGUCAUCAACUUAGAACCCAUACUUCAGAACCCACGGUCACCAACAAGAACCAAACAAAAGUCACCAACCGGACACGGUCACCAAUAGAACAAGUCACCAUCAGAACAAGUCACCAUCAGUACCUGUAAAUUAUUCAAUCCCGCCCCACUCACGGGUGUAAUCUAGGCCAAGGUAAGAUCAAGAGAAACACAGGAUAAACAAUCCUUUCAAGAAUAUCAUCAUAUGCACACCAGGUGUACGCAACGAUAAUACCCCAUCAGAAUCUGAAUUGCUCGUGAUACCAUGUUCCGCUAAGUGGCGCCAUACCACCUGCUUCCCAUGAAUCACUCUAUUCCUAGGUGUCCUAAAGUUCACUCAUAGCUUGUGUAUUGGGCCUUUUACCUCUUGUGACUCCCACCCAACAGUGAAACAGAUACGCAACCAUCACAGUAUGCAUGAAACGGUAAAGCGCACAUAGGAUGCAAUGCAAGCAGAUAAGUAUGCAAAGCAAUAAAUAAAUAACACACAAUAGACAAUGAACAAACAAACGCUAGGAAAGGCCCACUAGGGAAAAUAAGUCCCCAGCAGAGUCGCCAGCUGUCGCUCCCCGGAUUUCCCGAAUCCAAGUACAAACGCGAAAAGAGGUGGCGCGGAAGAAGAUUAGAGUCGCCAGCUAUGUACUUUUAUCCCAAGAGAAGGGAAAGGUAGUACUGCAUAACCAAGAGGGAACGGAUAAAACAAAGUCUCGAACCAAAGAAAACUGAGUAAGGGGGCCGGUUACGUGAAGGGAAGGUUAUCGCACCCCUUCACGUCUGUGGUACUCCACAGGAUCCACGCUUGCUAUUUAUGUCUAAAGUGUGUGUAUAAAAAGUCCUAUAUGCGAUGCGAAAGAGAGAAAAUCAAAGUAGGGAAAGGAAAGAGUUAUUGCUCGCACAGGCCCUACCCUGCUGCAUACGUAUCUCAAGAAGGAUUGAGAAUCAGAGCACCGUAGCUCGGCUAACCUAUUUUUGUUUGUUUUGUGUUUUUUAGAUGAACGACGUUACUACGCAAUCUACCGGAUGCUCGACCUUUGGAGACUUACUCACCUGUAGUAGAAGGAGUUAACGUGUUCUUAGGAGAAGAAAAAUCAAUGAGUUUGUUUGUGUUUUAGGAAUGCUCAUGCAAAAAGGAAGUCCUAGACGAAGGAACCGUGCUACCUUAAUUGACAUGCAAACGAGAGACUAUACGAAGCCUAGCAAUCCUAUGGGGAGACGAUCACACCAUACAAAACAAACAUGCAUAAAGUAAACAUGCCAACAAGGGGGCUCAAACAUACAUGGGUAGGGCUUUAGUCAAGAGGGGUCAUAUCAACCUCGACAAACAAGCCAUGGAAAGGUAAUCAAAUGGGCUCUUAACCACUGACAUUGAACGUCAGGGUGAGCAGAUCAAAAGGGUAAUGAGGAUAAGACCUCAUAGCUCUUAACCCUGGACAGGGUGAGCUCAUGACAAAAAGUGGGGAUUCAGAAAGGUGGAACCCUCUCCACUGACUGACCGGACAAAAGAUCUUGGGCUUUUGUUCUGAAGCAUCGACACGUAGUGCGAGCAUAAAGAACAACACACUGAAUAACGGGGGAUUGACUACUAAUCCCUUUUAUCCGUCAAUUGCCUCUUCAUGGAGGUCUUUAGCACUGAUGCCUCCUCUUGGAGGUCUUUGGGUACAAAAAUAAACACACAAAAACAUUUCCUCCUAUCGAGGUCUUCCAGCUAAGAAAGUAGUAAAAUGUUGGAAAGAUGUUAAAGGGAUCAAGAGAUCUACCACACGGAUAAAGAUCCGAAGUAACAACAACUAAAGAAGCAAGAAACCUAGAGAUCUCUCAAGCUAGCACCACCAAAGAAAGCAAGUCAGCAAAGCAAUCAGAAUAAAUCUCCAAAUGGUAUCCCACAAAUAAAGUGGAAUACCAAGCAAGCUAUCUCUUCAAGAGUCAUGUGAGCCCUCACAAAAAACUCAAUAAACAAGUUAGAAU
rnacentral:lncRNA from 1 species